AUGGUAAGGAUAAAGCAAUUACAGUAAGAAAUGAUUAUCCGAAGCCCCCUGUCCCUUGUUUUGAAAUCACUGAGGAUUUUGAUUUGGAAAAGGUUGAGGAGCUUAUGCUAGAAAGGGAUAUUAAGAUCGCCAAGUCCAUGGCAAAUGACAUAAUCAUCCCA